GCAUUACUGAAGAGUCCGACAAUAGGACGAAACGGCCAUCCAAUGC
rnacentral:hammerhead_ribozyme from 1 species